AGUUUGAGGCAGGAUAAAGAGCUCCAGCAACGAUUUCUUCGGUUUUUGGCAAUCAAAUGUGGGAGGGACCUAAAGACAACCGUGUGGCGAAUGCUUCAGAGUAUCUUCUCUAAUCACCUUUCCAUCAAUACAACCUGGACUGGUGUAGGGGAUAAAGCAUGUUUUAGAGACAUGUUCCUGAAGACCAUUGUUCAAAGAGCCAUCCGGAAGAACCCGGCAACCCAGGAUGCCACUGAUGAGGCGAUCCAGGUUAACGUUACGCGUUACCUGAAAGGAGCAUCUGAACAUGAAGGUGGAAAAAGGCGCCGCACAGCUGAGAGGGACCC